UUGAUGACCACUGCCAGAGCUGAGUAAUUACCAGAGUUCAUCUCAUCAGGUUACCAGAUCCACAGAAAGACCAGCUCUUUACUCCACACUUGAACUCUCUUCACUUCUGUUUGGAUUGAAACUGAAGAGCCUUAAUACCAUUCCAACACUUAUAAGGGACCCUCAUCUUCUAUGCCGACACCUGCCAGCCUGGAAAGUACAGAGGAAGAAAGAUGUUCUCCAAAGAGUGAGAGACACUGGAGACAGCACUGGUGGCUACCAGGAGUGCCUGAUCUGCACAUAAAUUACUUCAAUGUGAUGACAAUAUAUGGAACCAGGUUAACAUAUUCAGAUAUGUUGGAGGUCAGCAAAUUGAAGC